rnacentral:rRNA from 1 species
AGCGAACGUUAGCGGCGGGCUUAACACAUGCAAGUCGAGCGAGAGAGUGACUUCGGUCAUGAGUAAAGCGGCAGACGGGUGAGGAAUACGUAGGUAAUUUUCCGUUUAGUGGGGGACAACGGUCCGAAAGGACCGCUAAUACCGCAUACGUUUCUUGGGACUUUGGUCUUGAGAAGGAAAGCUGGGCAACUGGCGCUAAAUGAGAAGCCUGCGUCGCAUCAGCUAGUUGGUGGGGUAAUGGCCUACCAAGGCGAAGACGCGUAGCUGGUCUGAGAGGAUGAUCAGCCACACUGGAACUGAGACACGGACCAGACUCCUACGGGAGGCAGCAGUGGGGAAUAUUGGACAAUGGGCGCAAGCCUGAUCCAGCCACGCCGCGUGAGUGAUGAAGGCCUUCGGGUCGUAAAGACUCUGUGGGGAGAGGACGAACCGCUGGGUAACCCGUUCAGCAUGACGGUAUCUCCUUAGCAAGCACCGGCUAACUUCGUGCCAGCAGCCGCGGUAAC